CAGAGCCGUAUGAUGCGGAAGUAUCACGUACGGUUCUCUGAGAAGGGAGUGGCUACCCACUGGAGCUUUUUCUUUACCUACACCCGAAGGUAUGGGGCUACCCCUUACUCUCC
rnacentral:ncRNA from 1 species